rnacentral:rRNA from 1 species
GUGAAGAUGCAGUGUACCCGCGGCAAGACGGAAAGACCCCGUGAACCUUUACUAUAGCUUGACACUGAACAUUGAGCCUUGAUGUGUAGGAUAGGUGGGAGGCUUUGAAGCGUGGACGCCAGUCUGCAUGGAGCCGACCUUGAAAUACCACCCUUUAAUGUUUGAUGUUCUAACGUGGACCCGUGAUCCGGGUUGCGGACAGUGUCUGGUGGGUAGUUUGACUGGGGCGGUCUCCUCC